GUCCAUUUUAUAACACGUUAUCAGCACGAAUUCGCUUUAACAAUACCAGCUGAAUUCUCUGAUGAAACCCAUAUAUCUUAUUCCUUUUUCUUCUUCCUCACCAUCAUCAUCAUGGACUGAUCCCUACUUUCAAAACCUCACUCUCACAUACACAACAACACAGAUUGCCCCAAGUUCCUCCUAUGGCCGCUCAUCAUCACUGGG
rnacentral:lncRNA from 1 species